GACGAACGCUGGCGGCGUGCCUAACACAUGCAAGUCGAACGGAACCGGGGGCAACUCCGGUUCAGUGGCGGACGGGUGCGUAACACGUGAGGAACAUGACCUUCGGCGGGGGAGUAGCCGGCCCAACGGCCGGGUAUACCGCGUACGACCUUUCGGGGACAUCCUCGGAUGGUGAAAGCAGCAAUGCGCCGAUGGAGUGCCUCGCGGCCUAUCAGCUAGUUGGUGGGGUAACGGCCCACCAAGGCAACGACGGGUAGCUGGUCUGAGAGGAUGGCCAGCCACAUUGGGACUGAGACACGGCCCAGACUCCUACGGGAGGCAGCAGUGGGGAAUAUUGCGCAAUGGGCGAAAGCCUGACGCAGCGACGCCGCGUGUGGGAUGACGGUCUUCGGA
rnacentral:rRNA from 1 species